rnacentral:rRNA from 1 species
UGGGGGCAACCCUGAUCCAGCCAUGCCGCGUGAGUGAAGACGGCCCUCGGGUUGUAAAGCUCUUUUGUCCGGAAAGAAAAGCUUCGGGUUAAUACCCCGGGGUUCUGACGGUACCGGAAGAAUAAGCACCGGCUAACUUCGUGCCAGCAGCCGCGGUAAUACGAAGGGUGCAAGCGGUACUCGGAAUUACUGGGCGUAAAGCGUGCGUAGGUGGUUGUUUAAGUCUGAUGUGAAAGCCCUGGGCUCAACCUGGGAAUAGCAUUGGAAACUGGGCAGCGAGAGUGCGGUAGAGGGUAGUGGAAUUCCCGUUGUAGCAGUGAAUUUCGUAGGGUACGGGAAAAACAUAUGUGGCGAAGCCGACUGCCUAGACCAGCCCUGCCACUUAGGCACGAAAGCGGGGGG